UCCACAUUGCUUGAUCAUUUCACUUUAGCCCGUGCAUAUGAUCAAAAUUAUAUUUUAUUAAUAUAUAAUAUAAAUUGUUGAUAAACAUAGCAUGGAAUCAAGCAAAGUGAUGAAAAUAUAAUUUUAUCUUUAUAAUUUUUAAAGGGUUUGAUGUAAGACAAGGACAUUAUAUCAGCGAGAUCACCCUGCAGCAUCGGCCAACAUCGUAGAUGAGAGCCUUGUUUCUAUAACCAAGGGGCUAAAAAGCCCAUUAACUAAUUUUUUGAUGGGCUAACAAGCCCAAGAAACCUCCAAAGGACGAAAAUAACCCUCACUGGUGCUUGCGCAAGGCUAGGUCUAUUCUUAUUAGGGUUUUGUGUCGCUGAUAAAUGUCAAAGGGAAGCCCUUGUUUGGUUCCUUAUAAACUUGCAAUUGAAAAUCUGCUCCAUUAGAGAGGAAUUGCAGAAUAGAGUGAGAAGCGUAGAUCCUGAGAGGUUGAACCAAGAUGAGGGCUAAAUGGAAGAAGAAGCGCAUGAGGAGAUUGAAGAGGAAGCGCCGAAAGAUGAGGCAGAGAUCCAAGUAGGUGCUUGGAAUUGAACAAGAUACCUUCAGCUCAGCUUAUGGUGCUGCGCGAAGUGGGUUGCUGGAAGGAUGCUUGUUAGGGAAAGCUUCAUUUGUUUUUGCCUCCUGUUUUUAGUUUUAGCAACUGUUUUUGGGACUUAUUGAAUUUAACGUUUUGAGUUGUAUUUGACUUAAUAUAUGAAACUGGUUUUAAAGGUUUAUGCAUUACAA